rnacentral:rRNA from 1 species
UGUGUGAAGAAGGCCCUCGGGUUGUAAAGCACUUUUAUCAGGAACGAAAUACCACGGGCUAAUACCUUGUGGGGCUGACGGUACCUGAGGAAUAAGCACCGGCUAACUCCGUGCCAGCAGCCGCGGUAAUACGGAGGGUGCAAGCGUUAUCCGGAUUUACUGGGUUUAAAGGGUGCGCAGGCGGGCGAUUAAGUCAGUGGUGAAAUCUUCGAGCUUAACUCGGAAACUGCCGUUGAUACUAAUUGUCUUGAAUACUCGGGAGGUGAGCGGAAUAUGUCAUGUAGCGGUGAAAUGCUUAGAUAUGACAUAGAACACCGAUUGCGAAGGCAGCUCACUACAGAGAUAUUGACGCUGAGGCACGAAAGCGUGGGGAUCAAACAGGAUUAGAUACCCUGGUAGUCCACGCCCUAAACGA